GACGAACGCUGGCGGCGUGCCUAACACAUGCAAGUCGAACGGAACGGCCCUGCCUUUGUGGGGUGCUCGAGUGGCGAACGGGUGAGUAACACGUGAGUAACCUGUCCCUGACUUUGGGAUAACUUAAGGCAACUGGGGCUAAUACGGGCUAGGAUCUCCUGCCGCAUGGUGGGGGUUGGAAAGUUUCGGCGGUUGGGGUUGGAAUCGCGGCCUAUCAGCUUGUUGGUGGGGUAGUGGCUUACCAAGGCCUUGACAGGUAGCCGGCCUGGUAGGGUAACCUGCCACAUUAGGAUGGAACUACGACCCGGACUCCAACGGGAGGGAACGGUGGGGUGUGGUACACUGGGGGCUGAGGCCUGGUGCGAUAACGCCACGUGGGGUAUGUCAUCAUGCGGUUUGUGUUCCACAGUCGCCUGACACGAAGCGUGAGUGACGGUAAUGGGUGAAUAAGCACCGGCUAACUACGUG
rnacentral:rRNA from 1 species